GUGCUUGCUUCAACAGCACAUAUACUAAAACUGGAGCAAUGCAGAGAAGAUUAGCAUGGUCCCUGCCAGGAUGACAUACAAAUUUAUGAAGCAUUCCAUAUAUUU